GCUACAGCCCGACCUAGCCCUCCACCUCCUCCUUCCGGCCGCCGCCAUUAGGCAGGUGUAAUCUUCCGUCAGAUUCGGUCCUGAUUUUGGCGUGUGUGUUUGGCUGCAGCUUCUUGAUGAAGCUGAUUGAUCUGAAGAAUGACACCACCAUCCAUAGCACCAUCGCUGGUAUGAUUUGACUUCACUCACUAUCAAGAGGGGAACACCUCAAACUUUAGGGAGCUCACCGACCCGUUUGCUCCUAAAAUUUUAUUGGCUCCAUGCUCAGUAUCUAAGAGAGCUAGCUAGAUGCAGCUGCUAGCAUCUUUGGACAGGCAUACUCCCGUGAUGCGCUUUAACAGUAGUGCUUUUUUAGAAUCAUGUGUGGUAUUGGCAGGCAGAUUUGCAUGCUCCUUUCUUCACGCGUGCAAUUCGAGUUUUGCCAGUGCAAACUAAUUCUGAGUUCAAGUGAACCGUGUUUUACCUGUUGCACAUGGAUUUUGAUCCACAGUAAAAAAAGGGCAGGAAGCGGCACAAGUGUUGCUGAGAGGAGCUAGCAGGCAUGGAGGAGACAAGGCGCUUCGUGGCGACCACCUUCACCCUAAUUUUGCAGGAAGGCAGGGUGGGGCAUUGACCAACAUCGGUCUCGGCGUUGAAUAGUCGCUGCCCUCGUACUGAAAUAUGAAAUAGCGUCUCCACCUCAAGAAGUCAUCCCCUGAUUUUCAUUCAUUGGUGAGGAUGCCGCCUAGGAGAGGGAAAGAAAAUUAGGGAUCAUCUGUACCAGAGAAGGGUUUUUAUUUACUUUUUGCAUAUAAAGUGGAAUGAUACAAUAAGCAAAGAUUUUCGUGAAAAAAUAAAACAGCAUGUGGUUCAAUACCAAUAUUUUGUAAGAUCAUGGGGUUAUGUCAGUCUUCCUAUUAUGCCCAUGACUUUGUUUAUUUUGCAGAUAGAUGGUGCCCCGACUUAUUUGGCUGUAACUGGAGGAGAUAAAAAUUAGGAAUAAACAAUAAUUGUGUAUAGAUAGAACACCAUCUUUUGGUUUUCAGGUUUACAACUAUUCACACGGUUCUUUUAAAGAAAAUUUUAUUUAACCUGCGUA